GACCACCACCGUCCAGCUCGGCUCUCGGCACCGUCGGUCCUCCCGGCCCCGGCCGCUCUGCAGAAGCUGCUGUGGCGCUGGAGGUCGCUGUGCUCGCCGCACACUUUCCAGCUCCGGGGAAAACGCAGGAGUUUUGCAGUUGGCCGCCUCAGGGGGUCGAUGGAGGGAGCUGCAGCACGAGACCGGCCGGCUUGCUCGCAAAACAAAUCCUGGGUCAUCAUGACUGUGCAUUUGGGAAAUUAGGGUUUGUCGGGGGCCGCCAGGCAGACAGAGCCCAGAGUUUGAGCAGAGAGAGAAUUACGAGGGCGGGGGAGGGGAGAGGCAGGAACCGCCUUGCCUGAGAACGGGUCUCCGUCGCCCUCGUAACGGCUAGGCUCCUUAACUGAGACCCCGGGGUCACCAGGCGGGCGCACUUGUCUUUCCUCCGUUCUCCGCUAAGCCGCUAGAGAGCUGCAGGGUCUGUGAAACUAUCACAGUCGCCCCUCCUCCUAACCGACUUUCUGCCGCCGCUGCUGCUGCUAAGUCGCUUCAGUCGUGUCAGACUCUGUGUGUCCCCAGAGACGGCAGCCCACCAGGCUUCCCCGUUCCUGGGAUUCUCCGGGCAAGAACACUGGAGUGGGUUGCCAUUUCCUUCUCCAAUGCAUGAAAGUGAAAAGUGAAAGUGAAGUCGCUCAGUCGUGUCCGACUCUAGUGAUCCCAUGGACUGUAGCCUACCAGGCUCUUCCGUCCAUGGGAUUUUCCAGGCAAAAGUACUGGAGUGGGAUGCCAUUGCCUUCUCCGAACUGACUCUCUAAUUCAGUCGAAAGAAAGUCGCUCAGUCGUGUCCGACUCUUUGCGACCCCAUGGCCUGUAGCCUACCAGGCUCUUCGUCCAUGGGAUUUUCCAGUCGUGAUCAACGAGACCAGAGAGGCUGAGAAACUUGAGGAUUGACACCGUUAUCAUCUUCAUUUCACAGUCGUGAUCAACGAGACCAGAGAGGCUGAGAAACUUGUCCUGGGUCACUCAGCUAGAAGGCAGUUGACCUGCGGAGUUGAUCACGGUGUUCCAAGAACUGCCAGGUUCUGAAGCACAGGUCCCGCUCACUGAUGGAGUCCAGACCAGUGACUGCACUAGUUGUCUAGAACUUUCAUAUCCCUUUUUGCACCCCUGCCCAUCCUUCCGCAGAGGAGGACCCUACUUUGCAUACCCCAGGGGCGUGGUCAGCCCUUCUGGUCAGCCCUUCUAGCUUGGUCCUUGGCACUGUCCUGGCCCCCGUCACUCUGCAGAAACUGCUGUGGCGCCAUAGGUCGCUGCGCCUGCCGCACACUUUGCACGAGAAGAGGGGGAAAGCCACAAGAAGAGGAAGGCGACAUUGAAGGACAGCAAGGUUGCUGGUGACACACACAUGGAUUUGCUGGCGCAAGGCCCACAGCUCCAUGGUUUUGAUAAGAGUGGGUGGCCCCUGGGGUCAAGUCCUCACCUGAGCUUGUCUUGGCUUCUGGCUCUCUGAUUCCCUGCCGGCUUGGGUUUUCCCUGUCUCCUGUGGGAGAGGAAGGGUGGGGGGAGUGAUCUGUUUCACUUCUUAGGGAACCCUAAUAACCUUCUGGACAGAUUAGCUCUGAGGUCCCCUCUGGACAUGCCUGGCAGGAGUCAGCCCUCAACUAGCAAACACUAGGGAUAAAGAGAGUUUUUGCCAGGUAUUUGGGAAUUGAUCCUCAGACAGUUUCAUUCCUGCAAGGGAGUGUCUCACAUUAAAGUGAUUUACAUCACCUUCUAGUUCAUGCAUAGGACCCUUAGGAGCUUGGUUAACUUGAGUUAGUACCCCUUCCCCAUCAUGCCCUGUUAAAGUAUUAGUUGCUCAGUUGUGUCCGACUCUGCAAUCCCAGACUGUAGCCUGCCAGGCUCCUCUGUUCAUGGGAUUCUCCAGGCAAGAACACUAGAGUGGAUUCCCAUGCCCUCCUCAAGGGGAUCUUCCUGACCCAGGGAUCAAACCUGGGUCUCCUGCAUUGCAGGCAGUUUCUUUACUGUCUGAGCCACCAGGGGAAACCCCACCAUUCCCUGUUCUCUGCUCAGACAGAAAUUCUACUGCUGGCCCCAGACCUCAUCCAGAUGCCAUGUGCCUUCACUAAGGUAUUGUAUCCUCAGAGUCCCUGAUAUCCUUGCCCUGAAGGAGUUAGGAGUAACAGGUCAGGAUGGGACUCUAGGAUGACCCGCAGAGGUCUCAAGCAUUUCCUGUUUCUGCAGCCUGAGGAACCAGGUACCUUGUCAGACUCUUGCAUUUUUGCCAAACUCACAGGUUAUAGAUUAUAUCUCAUUGUUGUUUAAAUAUGCAUUUCUCUCUUUAUAGUUGUAUGAAAAAUCAUAUUUAUUAUAACUAAUUUUAAAGACUUUAUUGAAGGACAGCAUACAAAAAUGAUGUUAAAGUGUAAAACUUGAUUAAAUUUCACAAAGUAAACACAAUUGUAACCAUUACUCUGCUUAAGAAAAAGCAUUACUAUCUCCUAAGAAGAUGUUCUUCUGUCCCUUUCUUGUCAUGACUCUCUUCUGCC
ensembl:lncRNA